ACAGACAGAGAGAGAGAGAGAGAGAGAGAGAGAGAGAGAAGAUAGACAAAGAGAGACGGACAGUGAGAAUGAUGCAUGACUCAAACAGAUUUCGUUUUCUCCUUAGCACAGAAACCUGAAAACCCUGUCUGAAGUGCUGUAACAGAAAAGUGACCGAUCAGACUCGAGAAUCCACGGUGGUAUGGAUUACAGACCGCUCGCACUGUACAGCUGUAUAAGGACGGACGAUCCGACUCUCCUCACUCACCUGCUGUGGCCGCUGUGUUUGGGGAAGAUGCGAACCGUCUUGUCAAAACUGGCUGACACAAACUCUCUUCCCGUGGGCGAGUAGUCCACAUCAAGCACAGCGGAGACAUGGUCCAUGUGUACUGUAACUGG